GACGAACGCUGGCGGCGUGCCUAAUACAUGCAAGUUGAGCGAUGAAGAUUGGUGCUUGCACCAAUUUGAAGAGCAGCGAACGGGUGAGUAACGCGUGGGGAAUCUGCCUUUGAGCGGGGGACAACAUUUGGAAACGAAUGCUAAUACCGCAUAACAACUUUAAACAUAAGUUUUAAGUUUGAAAGAUGCAAUUGCAUCACUCAAAGAUGAUCCCGCGUUGUAUUAGCUAGUUGGUGAGGUAAAGGCUCACCAAGGCGAUGAUACAUAGCCGACCUGAGAGGGUGAUCGGCCACAUUGGGACUGAGACACGGCCCAAACUCCUACGGGAGGCAGCAGUAGGGAAUCUUCGGCAAUGGACGAAAGUCUGACCGAGCAACGCCGCGUGAGUGAAGAAGGUUUUCGGAUCGUAAAACUCUGUUGGUAGAGAAGAACGUUGGUGAGAGUGGAAAGCUCAUCAAGUGACGGAAACUACCCAGAAAGGGACGGCUAACUACGUG
rnacentral:rRNA from 1 species